rnacentral:rRNA from 1 species
CGGACGGGUGAGUAACGCGUGAGAACCUACCUUCAGAAUGGGGACAACAGUUGGAAACGACUGCUAAUACCCAAUGUGCCGAAAGGUGAAAGAUUUAUCGUCUGAAGAUGGGCUCGCGUCUGAUUAGCUAGAUGGUGGGGUAAGAGCCUACCAUGGCAACGAUCAGUAGCUGGUCUGAGAGGAUGAGCAGCCACACUGGGACUGAGACACGGCCCAGACUCCUACGGGAGGCAGCAGUGGGGAAUUUUCCGCAAUGGGCGAAAGCCUGACGGAGCAAUACCGCGUGAGGGAGGAAGGUCCUUGGAUUGUAAACCUCUUUUAUCAGGGAAGAAGUUCUGACGGUACCUGAUGAAUAAGCAUCGGCUAACUCCGUGCCAGCAGCCGCGGUAAUACGGAGGAUGCAAGCGUUAUCCGGAAUUAUUGGGCGUAAAGCGUCCGUAGGUGGUUAUGCAAGUCUGCCGUUAAAGAAUGGAGCUUAACUCCAUAGGAGCGGUGGAAACUGCAAGACUAGAGUACAGUAGGGGUAGCAGGAAUUCCCAGUGUAGCGGUGAAAUGCGUAGAUAUUGGGAAGAACAUCGGUGGCGAAAGCGUGCUACUGGGCUGAAACUGACACUGAGGGACGAAAGCUAGGGUAGCGAAAGGGAUUAGAUACCCCCUGUAGUCAA